rnacentral:rRNA from 1 species
GACGAACGCUGGCGGCGCGCUUAACACAUGCAAGUCGAGCGAGAAUCAGAGCUUCGGCUCUGAGGACAGCGGCGAACGGGUGAGUAACACGUGGGUAAUCUGCCCUCGAUUCUGGGAUAGCCCGGGGAAACUCGGAUUAAUACCGGAUAGCCUUUCGUGCUUUCGGGCGUGAAAGAAAAGGUAGCUUCGGCCUCCGAUCGAGGAUGAGCCCGCGGUGGAUUAGCUUGUUGGCGGGGUAAUGGCCCACCAAGGCGACGAUCCAUAGCUGGUCUGAGAGGACGAUCAGCCACACUGGGACUGAGACACGGCCCAGACUCCUACGGGAGGCAGCAGUGGGGAAUCUUGCGCAAGUGGGCGAAAGCCUGACGCAGCGACGCCGCGUGCGGGA